AUUCAAUAUUAUAUACAAUAUUAGAACUUAAUCAGGACAAAAGAAUGAAAUACCAUUUGAUUCUACUGAUGCUUAACUGAGCUACUUAUUCUGGUUACCAGUGUAGUUUUCAGGGGUGAUACUGCAUUCAAUAGCCGGACAAUGAAUUCUGUUAACAUUACCUGGUCAAUCUUAUUAUGUCAGAUCCUAUGAAUGGACUGCAAGACUGUGAAGACACCUUGUGCCCAUUUAUGUAUAUCAUACCAUGACCUUCAUAAAAUGGUGUAAACCUUUACUUUAUUUAACAGCCUACAGCCUUAGUUGAAAUGAGACAUUGUUCCUUCUAUAUAGCUAUCAUUUUACAUAGCUAAAUUCUAGAGCAUGCAGUUUAUUAGGACAUUCAAAUGCUUUUGUGAUGUUUGAAAUGUGCACUGCUGUCUUGAACUACAGGCCUUCUCAAGCAUCUGACUGCCAAUUGAAUAUUUGGGCACAGAGUACCACUGAAUGAGGACACUGUAAUAUCUGAGAAUUUUACUGUAUGUUCUUGGAGAUCAGAAAUCAGUAGUUUAAGAUUAUUGGGAAGGCAACUUGAUUACAGCUACGGAUAAAGCCAUGGCCUUUGAACCGCUAAGAAUAGAAGUAUAAAAGUCUUACCUUGAAAUUAUUUUGGUUGCUUCGUUUAUUUUUCUACAUUUUAUAGGAUUUCCAUGGCUGUUGCAUAUUAAAUUGAGGCCAUCCAUUCCAUCCAGUUUUGUCAGUAAAGCCUGUAUCUAGCCUAUACUUUCUACUUAGAAGCUUGUAAGUUGUAACACCUAGUGAACUGAGCUCCAGCUUGGCUUGACUAGACACAAAUACUCACAUGUACUGUAUAUAUAGGUAAUUGUAGAGUGAACAUUAUUGAUUCGUGCUCAAGGUUAUCUGAGCCUACUAUAUACUCAUAUUGAAUUGCCUUAUUGAGUAAAGGCCAAACCAUUAUCUA